CUACGGGGCGCUGCAGUGAGGAAUAUUGCACAAUGGGGGGGAACCCUGAUGCAGCAACGCCGCGUGGAGGAUGACGCAUUUCGGUGUGUAAACUCCUUUUAUAUGUCAAGAAAAUGACGGUAGCAUAUGAAUAAGCACCGGCUAACUCCGUGCGCAGCAGCCGCGGUAAUACGGAGGGUGCAAGCGUUACUCGGAAUCACUGGGCGUAAAGGACGCGUAGGCGGGUUGGAAAGUCAGGUGUGAAAUCCUACAGCUUAACUGUAGAACUGCACUUGAAACUUCUAAUCUAGAGUAUGGGAGGGGGAGAUGGAAUUAGUGGUGUAGGGGUAAAAUCCGUAGAUAUCACUAGGAAUACCUAAAGCGAAGGCGAUCUCCUGGAACAUUACUGACGCUAAGGCGUGAAAGCGUGGGGAGCAAACAGGAUUAGAUACCCCCGUAGUC
rnacentral:rRNA from 1 species